rnacentral:rRNA from 1 species
GACGAACGCUGGCGGCGUGCUUAACACAUGCAAGUCGAACGGACAGGCCCUGCUUUUGUGGGGUGCUCGUUAGGCGAACGCGUGAGAAACACGUGUGUAAACCGUACUUAUCUUAGGGAUAAAUCUAGGAAACAGGGGCUAAUACAGGAUAGGAGCUCUUGAUGCACGGUGGGGGUUGGUGAGUUUCGGCGGUUGGGGAUGGACUGGCUGCUUAUCAGCUGGUUGGUGGGGUAGGUGAUUACCAAGGUUAUGACGGGUAGCCGGCCUGAGAGGGUGACCGGCGACAUUGGGACUGCGGUACGGCCCAGACUCCUACGGGACGCAGCAGUCGGGAGUAUUACACAAUGGGGGGAAGCCUGAUGCAGCAACGCCGCGUGCGGGAUGACGGGCUACGGGUUGUAAACCGCUUUCGCCGGAACCGAGGCGUGAGUGACGGUAAUGGGUAAAGAAGCACCGGCUAACUACGUG